GGCCGCGGGGCCGCGGGAGGGAGGUUUGCAGCCGCCUGCGGGAGCUGUGCGCGCUCUGGCGGGAGCCCCAGCGCCGCAGCAAGGAGCAGGUCGCGGCGAGGGUGAAGGGCGAGGAGGGGCCCUCCGACGAGAUGCAGCCCCCGGGGGCACUGCAGGACCCUGGCGAUCCCCGGUGGGAGCAGCCCAGCACCCAUGGUGCGCACAGGCCUCUGGAUCAGUCAGGAGAGAUGGAAACCCCAGGGUUUCAAGACAAGCCACCUCACAUUCCCAGAGAGGAUCCCCCGUCCCUGCAGCACUCAGGUGCUGGGACCCUGCAGAGAGCUGAGCAGCAGCCUGCUGAGGG